AAACCAAGCAAGCGAAGCGUGUUCGGCAAUCUGUACUCAUUCAUUAAAAUUCUCAUAAAUUUCCAAUUAUGGCCGGACAACACUUAAGGAAAAUUGCUCGCAAUUAAAAUUUCAGAUUUCUUCGCCCUCGCCUGAGCUCAUAAGUAUGCCGCAAUAUAAAUCAGGGGGCAAGAAAAUAAUGCCCCGUGGACAUUUCUUAAAUUAUUCAGCGGGAUGGCUUUAUUGUGGCAUCAUUAAAACUUGAUUGACUUGAUGAUGAGUGAAUGAAGUGGGCGGAGUGAAAACAUCGCCUGGGCGCAAACUUUGCCCGCCUUCAAGGCCAUUUUGGGCCCGCUCCAGAAAUAAUUUCCGCCGCCGCAAAAGUUCAACAUAAACCCUGGAAGGAGCCAACCCCACCGCCUUCGUCUAAGUACUAUACAUAUUCGCUAAUGUUGUUGGCAUUCUGAUAAGUAAAUUCAUUUCUCAUGCUCGACCAGAGAAGCGAAUGAACUGGAGAGCGUCCUUGCCCUUGGAAUAUUCAUAGCAGGCACGUAAAAUGGAUUAGCAGAAAGUUUUCGACGGCGCCAAUCGUGAUUCCUGGACGGGAUGCUGCGCAUCCCCACCGUAUCCUGAUUGAUGCCCGGCCGAGUUGCGUCCUAGUGAAACAGGAUUUGUUUGGGGAAUUCGUGGGAGACAGAGCAACAGUGAGCAUACAAAGUUUGCCCAACGAUUUGCUGAGCUCCGAGUUCUGUAGAUGCGGAU